CGCGCAGCUACCAUGCAGUCGAGCGAACCUUCGGGUUAGCGGCGGACGGGUGAGUAACGCGUGGGAACGUACCCUCUUCUGCGGGAUAGCCACUGGAAACGGUGAGUAAUACCGCAUACGCCCUUCGGGGGAAAGAUUUAUCGGAGGAGGAUCGGCCCGCGUUGGAUUAGGUAGUUGGUGGGGUAAUGGCCUACCAAGCCUACGAUCCAUAGCUGGUUUUAGAGGAUGAUCAGCCACACUGGGACUGAGACACGGCCCAGACUCCUACGGGAGGCAGCAGUGGGGAAUCUUAGACAAUGGGCGCAAGCCUGAUCUAGCCAUGCCGCGUGAGUGACGAAGGCCUUAGGGUCGUAAAGCUCUUUCGCCAGAGAUGAUAAUGACAGUAUCUGGUAAAGAAACCCCGGCUAACUCCGUGCCAGCAGCCGCGGUAAUACGGAGGGGGUUAGCGUUGUUCGGAAUUACUGGGCGUAAAGCGCACGUAGGCGGAUUGGAAAGUUGGGGGUGAAAUCCCAGGGCUCAACCCUGGAACUGCCUCCAAAACUCCCAGUCUGGAGUUCGAGAGAGGUGAGUGGAAUUCCGAGUGUAGAGGUGAAAUUCGUAGAUAUUCGGAGGAACACCAGUGGCGAAGGCGGCUCACUGGCUCGAUACUGACGCUGAGGU
rnacentral:rRNA from 1 species